rnacentral:rRNA from 1 species
UACGGAAGGCAGCAGUGGGGAAUAUUGGACAAUGGGCGAAAGCCUGAUCCAGCCAUGCCGCAUGAGUGAAGAAGGCCUUCGGGUUGUAAAGCUCUUUUAGUGAGAAAGAUAAUGACGGUACUCACAGAAGAAGUCCUGGCUAACUCCGUGCCAGCAGCCGCGGUAAUACGGAGAGGGCUAGCGUUAUUCGGAAUUAUUGGGCGUAAAGAGCGCGUAGGCUGAUUAGUAAGUUAAAAGUGAAAUCCCAAGCUUAACUUUGGAAUUGCUUUUUAAAACUGCUAGUCUAGAGAUUGAAAGAGGAUAGAGGAAUUCCUAGUGUAGAGGUGAAAUUCGUAAAUAUUAGGAGGAACACCGGUGGCGAAGGCGUCUAUCUGGUUCAAAUCUGACGCUGAGGCGCGAAGGGCGUGGGGAGCGAAACAGGGAUUAGAUACC